CCUACGGGUGGCAGCAGUGAGGAAUAUUGGUCAAUGGGCGGAAGCCUGAACCAGCCAAGUCGCGUGAGGGAUGACGGCCCUAUGGGUUGUAAACCUCUUUUGCCGGGGAGCAAAGUGCCGCACGUGUGCGGGUUGGAGAGUACCCGGAGGAAAAGCAUCGGCUAACUCCGUGCCAGCUGCCGCGGUAAUACGGAGGAUGCGAGCGUUAUCCGGAUUUAUUGGGGUUAAAGGGGGCGGAGGCGGAAGAUCAAGUCAGCGGGAAAAAUGAGGGGCUCAACCUCUUAGAGCCGUUGAAACUGGUGUUCUUGAGUGAGUGAGAAGUAUGCGGAAUGCGUGGUGUAGCGGUGAAAUGCAUAGAUAUCACGCAGAACUCCGAUUGCGAAGGCAGCAUACCGGCGCUCAACUGACGCUCAGGCACGAAAGCGUGGGUAGCGAACAGGAUUAGAUACCCUAGUAGUC
rnacentral:rRNA from 1 species